rnacentral:lncRNA from 1 species
UCCUAGAAAAUAGGACUGCAUAAUAACCAACUUAUUUUAACAAACUGGAAACAGACUAAUAUAAAAUAAAUAUCUCCUAAACCAACCAACAUUCACGGUUUUUACCAAAUUUUUUUGGCUUUUGCACCGUGCCUAUAUCUUUGUCUGAGUCUUUUAGGUCAAUUUAAUUUCUUCUAGCUCCUAUAUUCUAGCUAGAUCUAGUUACCUAGGACCAUCCUAAUCUGUUUGCUUGAGCUAGCUAUCAUUGCUUCCAUAUAUUUUUUUUUUAAUUCUGCUGCAGAUUUAUUGAUUUUACUGCAUAAUUGGUAACUCCACAUAUCACUUUGAGUUUUACUGAGAUUCUGUGCAUUGUAACUAUUGGUGCAAGUGUAUUUCACCAUUUGAAACUUGUUUCAGCUGUUGCCUUGGUCCAUUUGCAUUACAUCUGCAAAAUCAUAGUUUGACAUCCUAUUUUUGCUUGAAAAUUGGAACUCAACUAGUCAAAUUGUGAUUCAGUGGAUUUUGGCACAGUUUGAUUGUUUCCACACCUAUAUUUGGUGCAUCAAAGUUGCUUGUUACUGUUCAUUUGGUCAUUUUUGCACCAUUUCACCAAAUCACAUCUUAAACCCGUAGCUUUGCUCCAAUUGAGGAAGUGGACAUGUCAUAUUUUGCUGUGGCAGUUUUCUUUGCGGUUUGAGUGCUUGCACACAUCCAUUAUGAUGAUAUAAACUUGCUUGAGGUGUCAUUUGAUCCUUUUAACCACUGCCACUGAUUUCACCCACUGCAGUUCCAAUUUUCUUGCCAUUUUUUUCACUUUUUGGUGCAGUUUUAGUAGUUUAAUUCUGCAUAAUUCACAACUGCCUCUGUCCAUUGCUGCAUCAACUUGUUUCUGUGUAGUAUCAAUGUUUUAGCAAGUCCAUUUGGUGAUUUGAAAUCUGAACUUACUGUUCAUAUGGUCAAAAUUCAACUGUUUUGCAAAAUCACCACUCCAUCCAUCAAAUUUGCUUGAUUUUGGGAAGUGACCUAGUGAAUUUCUGCUGCAGGCCAUUUCUUUGCUGUUUGAGUGUUUGGACACAUCUAUUAUGAUGAUACAAAGUUGUUUGAAGUGUCAAUUACACAUGUGAAUCAUUGCCAUUGAGUUUGACCAGUGCAGUUUCAAUUUUGCUGCCACAUUUCAGUGCUGCAACGUGUUUUCUAGCUGUUUGCAUUUUGUCCAGCCCUUACAAAUCAAAAUUGGAUUGGCAAAAGCUGGGAUUUCACUCCUAAAUCAUUUUCCAUGUUCAAUCAAGUUUAAAACAGGCAUAAAAAGCAAUUAAAUCCCUGCAAUCCAGUUUUAGAAAUCAAAAAUCAGAAAAAUAUCAAAACUGUAGUUCAUUGUGGCAUUUUGUCAAACAGUUUGGCAAUUUCAUCAAACAGUUUCACUGCACAGAAUUUCCUCAUUGUUUUUGAGUUUUUCUUGCUUUUAUAAUCUGUUCUAGUUCCUUUCCUAGGCUCCUUUUGUGUGCUACCUUUUAUUCCAGCUGUAUCUCACUUGAAUUCAUCAUUUUUGGCUUCCAUACUAUGCUAGCAAAUUGGUUUUUGGCUAAUUAAAAUUUUGGUGCAGCACAUUUCUGUUUCACUCACGGUUUUGUGAUUUUCUUGCUGGUUCAUCAUAUCAUUUUGGUGGAAUUUUAGCACACAGCUGGACCUUAUCAAAGGGGUAGCAUCUUAAGGAGUGGAGGCCUUGCUAACUUGGCUUCAAGUGGACUUCAAGAGGACUUUAAGUGGGCUGUCCAGCCACCUUUUCAGCAGCAAAACACCACUCACAAGUUGCAUUUCAUAAUUUAUUUUGCUUUUGUAGCCACACUUGGCUUUGCUUACAUAGUUCUCUAAUUCAUUGUACUAUUUGGCUUUCUAUCACGG